CCUGAACGCUGGCGGCGUGGCUAAGACAUGCAAGUCGCACGGUGUAGCAAUACACAGUGGCGAACGGGUGAGUAAUGAAUCGCUAAUGUACCCUGGACUCUGGGAUAGCUGGCCGAAAGGCCAGGUAAUACCAGAUGAGACCACAAGCAGGCAUCUGCUGGUGCUCAAAGGUCCGCCGGUCUGGGAGCAGGCGAUUUCGUAUCAGCUAGUUGGUGAGGUAACGGCUCACCAAGGCGACGACGCGUAGCCGGACUGAGAGGUUGGCCGGCCACAUCGGGACUGAGACACUGCCCGGACUCCGUACGGGGG
rnacentral:rRNA from 1 species